rnacentral:rRNA from 1 species
AUUGAACGCUGGCGGCAGGCCUAACACAUGCAAGUCGAACGAGUGGCGGACGGGUGAGUAAUGUCUGGGAAACUGCCUGAUGGAGGGGGAUAACUACUGGAAACGGUAGCUAAUACCGCAUACCAUCGGAUGUGCCCAGGUGGGAUUAGCUAGUUGGUGGGGUAACGGCUGACCUAGGCGACGAGCCCUAGCUGGUCUGAGAGGAUGACCAGCCAAACUGGAAAGGAGACACGGUCCAGAAUCCUACGGGAGGAAGCAGUGGGGAAGAUGGGACAAUGGGAGAAAGCCUGAUGCAGCCAUGCCGCGUGUAUGAAGAAGGUCUUCGGUUUGUAAAGUACUUUCAGGUGGGAGGCGUUACCCACAGAAGAAGCACCGGCUAACUCCGUGCCAGCAGCCGCGGUAAUAC